rnacentral:rRNA from 1 species
UACAGAGGGUGCGAGCGUUAAUCGGAAUUACUGGGCGUAAAGCGCACGUAGGUGGCGACGUAAGUCGGGUGUGAAAGCCCCGGGCUCAACCUGGGAAUUGCAUUCGAGACUGCAUUGCUGGAGUACGGAAGAGGAAGGCGGAAUUCCCGGUGUAGCGGUGAAAUGCGUAGAUAUCGGGAGGAACAUCAGUGGCGAAGGCGGCCUUCUGGUUCAGUACUGACACUCAAGUGCGAAAGCGUGGGGAGCAAGCAGG